ACUCCUACGGGAGGCAGCAGUGGGGAAUUUUGCGCAAUGGGGGAAACCCUGACGCAGCAACGCCGCGUGGGGGAUGAAGUCCCUUGGGAUGUAAACUCCUUCGACCGCGACGAUAUGAC
rnacentral:rRNA from 1 species